rnacentral:lncRNA from 1 species
UUUUUUGUUCUUCUUUUGAAACAGAAGGACAAGUAGUUUAUUAACCUAAAUACUAUGAGAAACUUACUAGAAUCUAACUAUUGGAGCGCACGUGUUUGGCCCUGGAACUGUCACAUCACUUGUCCUUCUAAUUGACCGACCCUGCCUGUGACGCCUUGAUCAGAUAUGUGCUUCUGGUAUAUGAGAAACUAUACUACCUGUGAGGCAGCUCGAGAAUUUUCCACGCGAAAUCGAUUUAACUCCAGUC